rnacentral:tRNA from 1 species
GUUGAGGUAGCUUAAAGCAGAGCACGGCACUGAAAAUGCCUAGGUAGGUGUUAAACUCCCCUCCUUGACA